rnacentral:rRNA from 1 species
GAUGAACGCUGGCGGCGUGCCUAAUACAUGCAAGUCGAGCGAAUGGAUUAAGAGCUUGCUCUUAUGAAGUUAGCGGCGGACGGGUGAGUAACACGUGGGUAACCUGCCCAUAAGACUGGGAUAACCCCGGGAAACCGGGGCUAAUACCGGACAACAUUUUGAACCGCAUGGUUCGAAAUUGAAAGGCGGCUUCGGCUGUCACUUAUGGAUGGACCCGCGUCGCAUUAGCUAGUUGGUGAGGUAACGGCUCACCAAGGCAACGAUGCGUAGCCGACCGGAGAGGGUGAUCGGCCACACUGGGACUGAGACACGGCCCAGACUCCUACGGGAGGCAGCAGUAGGGAAUCUUCCGCAAUGGACGAAAGUCUGACGGAGCAACGCCGCGUGAGUGACGAAGGCUUUCGGGUCGUAAAACUCUGUUGUUAGGGAAGAACAAGUGCUAGUUGAAUAAGCUGACACCUUGACGGUACCUAACCAGAAAGCCACGGCUAACUACGUGCCAGCCGCCGCAGUAA